CUCUCACACAUGACUCUCACACAUGACUCUCACACAUGACUCUCACACAUGACUCUCACACAUGAUUCUCACACAUGACUCACACACAUGACUCUCACACAUGACUCUCACACAUGACUCUCACACAUGACUCUCACACAUGACUCUCACACAUGACUCUUAUCACAGUCUAUUAUAUCCUCCAAAUGGUUCAAUGAGAAAAUGUCCAGUUUUGAGUUUCACGGCCACACUAAACUCUCCAACUGCUUGACAGCAAUGUUCUAAAGAACCUAAACAAAUGUAAAACCAUGUUUCUGAGCUCUGGGCUGAAGUUUCCUCUAGGUACAGAUCUAGGAUCUGCUUCCCCGACCCUGACCUCAGCCAUUAAGGAAAUGCAAAACUGACCCGAGAUCAGCAUCUUGAGACUACUUCAACCUACUCCCUCUCUGCAGGUGGUUCAUCUCUCCCUAGCCCUAUUCUGAUUGGUCCAGACAAGGCCUACCUGAACUCCAAGGUAGUGUUCCAAUGUAGGUCACCUGGGUCUCCUCCACCAAACACAUACGAGCUCCUGAAGGACGGCAACCACCUGGUCGCCACGAGCAACGACCUCCAAGACGACCAAUCGGCUACGUUCUUCCUGAAGAUCUCUGUGACGUCAGAAGGAUCGUACCACUGCAGGGUGACGGCAGGUGGAAACAUGGGCCUCAGUGGAACAGUCCGCCUGCAAGUAGUGAUCCCUGUCUCAGGCACUAUGGUGACCUCUGACCCUGAUCCUCCUAUUCUCUACGAGGGGUUGCGGCUCACUCUCACCUGUGAUGUCACCAAGGGCUCCCACCUCUCCUACACCUGGUUCUACAACAGACAGGAAGUGACAUCAUCUCCAACCUCACCUUUGACCCCGCUUCUGCUCUGGCCGGUGGGAAACAGGCUGGUGGUGGAGAGGGUCACAGCAAAGCAUGCUGGGAAUUAUUCGUGCAUUGCCGGGACCAGGAUGCAGACCAACAGCAGGUUCUCCAGCAGCAGAGAGGUCACGGUCAGGGUCAAAGCCUAUCUCUCCGUACCCCAAACAUCCUUCACCAUCUCCAAAGAGGGUUCGAGUUACCGCGGCAAUGUGACCUGCAUGUCAUCAAGGGGAACCCCUCCCGUGACCUUCUACCUCUUCCUUGACGACAAGGAGCUGGGUUCCGACGUGGCAACGGAGUCGCUGGUUGCCUGGUUCCCCGUUGCCAUGGUUCCCGGGCGUGACAUGGGCACGGUGCGGUGUACAGUGGAGAGUGAUGCACAGAGACUGACCAGCAGACCCCUGACUCUGGUAGUGGGUACGGGCUAAACCUAUGUGUGUGUGUGUAUUGUAGUAUUCUAUGUGUUUCCUGCAUGUGCUUAUGUCAUGAUAGCUGUAUGAGUGUUGACUGUGUUUAUGUCAUG
rnacentral:lncRNA from 13 species